rnacentral:tRNA from 1 species
CAAAAAUCCGUCGACUUUAUAAGUCGUGAGGGUUCAAGUCCCUCUAUCCCCA